rnacentral:snoRNA from 26 species
CCGUCUCUGUCUAACGCCUCACAUGUGCAGAAAUCGUUGUGGGGCGAUUUCAGGAGGCGGAGAUAU